rnacentral:rRNA from 1 species
UAUAUUAAAGUUGUUGCAGUUAAAAAGCUCGUAGUUGGAUUUCGGAAGGUCCUUAGCAGUCCGCCCCUUCGGGGAGCGGGCUGCUGGCCUCCUAUGUUCCUAACGGUCCUCAUCCGCGAGGGUGGGGAAUCAACCGCUAGGAUCGUUUACUUUGAGGAAAUUAGAGUGUUCAAAGCAGGCGUAACUCGCCUCCGAAUACGUUAGCAUGGGAUAAUGGAAUACGACUUCGGUCUUGUUUCGUUGGUUUCGCUUGGCUGAAGUAAUGAUUGAUAGGGACAGUUGGGGGCAUUAGUAUUUAGUUGUCAGAGGUGAAAUUCUAGGAUUUACUAAAGACUGACCAAUGCGAAAGCAUUUGCCAAGGAUGUUUUCAUUAAUCAAGAACGAAAGUAGGGGGAUCGAAGACGAUCAGAUACCGUCGUAGUCUCUACCGUAAACUAUGCCGACCAGGGAUCCGGAGAGUUUGCAUGGAUGACUCCCCGGGCACCUUGUGAGAAAUCAUAAGUGUUUGGGUUUUGGGGGGAGUAUGGUCGCAAGGCUGAAACUUAAAGGAAUUGACGGAAGGGCACCACCAGGAGUGGAACCUGCGGCUUAAUUUGACUCAACACGGGGAAACUUACGAGGUCAGGACACUGUGAGGAUUGACAGAUUG